GCAUACGUCAUGGAAAGGCUGGUGGCUAAAGCCCUGGUAGAGACUUGGAGGACCUGAAUUUGAAUCCUGGCUCUGUCAUCCACUUGCUGAGUAGCCUUGGGUAAAAUCUAGAUUAUAUAUGUCAUGAGGUAAAGGCAGCCUAUGCUGGUAAGCUCUACAUAUUUAGGAUACCCACACAGCACAACAGGAUUCCUGAGAGACCCAUGCAGCUAUACAUCUGAAGGUGGACGGACUGAAUCCCCAGGAAGCAGUGGAGAUAGGUGAGUGUUCCCCUACCCCUCCCUGGCAGCAGUAAGCCAGGUCGUGGGUCCUUGCACAGCAG